CUUCCUAUUCUUAAAGCAAUUAUUGAUUUGACGAGGACUGCUUAAUACCAAUUCAAUUAAUAAUUAAAGUCAACAAGAGUGCUGUAUUCGAAUUGAUGAGUAUAGGGAAGUUAGGGGUUUUACCUCACUGUUUGGUAAAUCUAUAUUAAGUAUUCAAUAAGAGAUAAUUAUAUUUCUCUUGUCUAUGAUCGAGUUAUGCAUAGGAAUGCGAAUUACCUUGGACUGAA
rnacentral:misc_RNA from 1 species